rnacentral:RNase_P_RNA from 1 species
GACGACCGCGGGCGCUAGUUGCUCGAGGAAAGUCCGGACUCCAUAGGAUACAACGACGGAUAACAUCCGCCGAUCGCAAGAUCAGGGAAAGCGCAACAGAAAAGAUACCGCCUCUCUGAGGUAAGGGUGAAAUGGCGAGGUAAGAGCUCACCGCGUUUUUGGUAACAAGAACGGCAUGGCAAGCCCCGUUGGGAGCAAGGUUAAAACGCGUCGCGUUUGUACGGAAGGCGAUCCGCUUUAAAGACGCAGGUAAACCGCUAGAGCGUAUGGGCAACUAUACGCCUGGAUAAAUGGUCGUCCUCUUUUUUGAGACAGAAUCCGGCUUAUUAUCCAGCG